UGAGACGCUGCAAGAAUGAGGAUCCUGAUCCAGUUGCCC
rnacentral:piRNA from 1 species